rnacentral:rRNA from 1 species
UACGAAGGGGGCUAGCGUUGCUCGGAAUCACUGGGCGUAAAGCGCACGUAGGCGGAUCUUUAAGUCGGAGGUGAAAGCCCAGGGCUCAACCCUGGAAUUGCCUUCGAUACUGGAGAUCUUGAGUUCGAGAGAGGUGAGUGGAACUCCGAGUGUAGAGGUGAAAUUCGUAGAUAUUCGGAAGAACACCAGUGGCGAAGGCGGCUCACUGGCUCGAUACUGACGCUGAGGUGCGAAAGCGUGGGGAGCAAACAGG